UCCUGACUGACCGAUAGUGAACCAGUACCGUGAGGGAAAGGCGAAAAGAACCCCGGCGAGGGGAGUGAAAAAGAACCUGAAACCGUGUACGUACAAGCAGUGGGAGCACGCUUAGGCGUGUGACUGCGUACCUUUUGUAUAAUGGGUCAGCGACUUAUAUUCUGUAGCAAGGUUAACCGAAUAGGGGAGCCGAAGGGAAACCGAGUCUUAACUGGGCGUUAAGUUGCAGGGUAUAGACCCGAAACCCGGUGAUCUAGCCAUGGGCAGGUUGAAGGUUGGGUAACACUAACUGGAGGACCGAACCGACUAAUGUUGAAAAAUUAGCGGAUGACUUGUGGCUGGGGGUGAAAGGCCAAUCAAACCGGGAGAUAGCUGGUUCUCCCCGAAAGCUAUUUAGGUAGCGCCUCGUGAAUUCAUCUCCGGGGGUAGAGCACUGUUUCGGCAAGGGGGUCAUCCCGACUUACCAACCCGAUGCAAACUGCGAAUACCGGAGAAUGUUAUCACGGGAGACACACGGCGGGUGCUAACGUCCGUCGUGAAGAGGGAAACAACCCAGACCGCCAGCUAAGGUCCCAAAGUCAUGGUUAAGUGGGAAACGAUGUGGGAAGGCCCAGACAGCCAGGAUGUUGGCUUAGAAGCAGCCAUCAUUUAAAGAAAGCGUAAUAGCUCACUGGUCGAGUCGGCCUGCGCGGAAGAUGUAACGGGGCUAAACCAUGCACCGAAGCUGCGGCAGCGAUGCUUAUGCGUUGUUGGGUAGGGGAGCGUUCUGUAAGCCUGCGAAGGUGUGCUGUGAGGCAUGCUGGAGGUAUCAGAAGUGCGAAUGCUGACAUAAGUAACGAUAAAGCGGGUGAAAAGCCCGCUCGCCGGAAGACCAAGGGUUCCUGUCCAACGUUAAUCGGGGCAGGGUGAGUCGACCCCUAAGGCGAGGCCGAAAGGCGUAGUCGAUGGGAAACAGGUUAAUAUUCCUGUACUUGGUGUUACUGCGAAGGGGGGACGGAGAAGGCUAUGUUGGCCGGGCGACGGUUGUCCCGGUUUAAGCGUGUAGGCUGGUUUUCCAGGCAAAUCCGGAAAAUCAAGGCUGAGGCGUGAUGACGAGGCACUACGGUGCUGAAGCAACAAAUGCCCUGCUUCCAGGAAAAGCCUCUAAGCAUCAGGUAACAUCAAAUCGUACCCCAAACCGACACAGGUGGUCAGGUAGAGAAUACCAAGGCGCUUGAGAGAACUCGGGUGAAGGAACUAGGCAAAAUGGUGCCGUAACUUCGGGAGAAGGCACGCUGAUAUGUAGGUGAAGUCCCUUGCGGAUGGAGCUGAAAUCAGUCGAAGAUACCAGCUGGCUGCAACUGUUUAUUAAAAACACAGCACUGUGCAAACACGAAAGUGGACGUAUACGGUGUGACGCCUGCCCGGUGCCGGAAGGUUAAUUGAUGGGGUCAGCGCAAGCGAAGCUCUUGAUCGAAGCCCCGGUAAACGGCGGCCGUAACUAUAACGGUCCUAAGGUAGCGAAAUUCCUUGUCGGGUAAGUUCCGACCUGCACGAAUGGCGUAAUGAUGGCCAGGCUGUCUCCACCCGAGACUCAGUGAAAUUGAACUCGCUGUGAAGAUGCAGUGUACCCGCGGCAAGACGGAAAGACCCCGUGAACCUUUACUAUAGCUUGACACUGAACAUUGAGCCUUGAUGUGUAGGAUAGGUGGGAGGCUUUGAAGUGUGGACGCCAGUCUGCAUGGAGCCG
rnacentral:rRNA from 1 species